CCGGCAGACAGAAAAGUAAGUGCCUCAAAGUUCUGAAGAAGCAUCAUUCAAGAUUGAGGAGCCAAGGCCAAGGUUGAAAAGGCGACUCAAGUUCCUUCAGAGUUGCUGCAGACAGUGCAAGGUCCACCCCCUGGUGAGCAAGAAGGAAACUGAUAUCCGAGUCAUCUACGUGAAGCCCAGUGACCAGGGGGUGGAGACGACCGACUCUUUUAGUUCAGAUGAUCUCAUAACAGAAGAUUUAUAGGUAUCUGGCAAGGAUUUGAUUAGUGCAGUUCCCCACUUAGGAAAAUUCAAUAUCCAAAGAAAGAGUGGCAAAAGAGAUGGUCUCUGCCUUGCAUUUUUAUGCAGUAUGGUCUAGCUUUCCACCAUAUACCAACCAGCCCCAGUUGGACUUUGACUUACCACCAGCCUUUUUGAGACUUUGGAAAUGCGACUGAGAAGAAAAUCACAUUGUCCAUGUAGCUGAACUUGGAUGGCAGGGGGCAGGAAACCCAGACCUUGGCCUUACAAUUGGACGUGUGACUAUGGAUGUAGAUUGAAGAUGUUCACAUGUAGCAUUAAGCGCAGGGGUGGAGAUUGGGUAU